rfam:Triticum aestivum genome assembly, contig: Triticum_aestivum_CS42_TGACv1_scaffold_578811_7BL
UUUGUACUCCCUCCGUCCCAAAAUUCUUGUCUUAAAUUUGUCUAAAUACGGAUGUAUCUAGUUAUAUUUUAGUGUUAGAUACAUCCGUAUCUUAACAAAUGUAAGACAAGAAUUUUGGGACGGAGGGAAUACUAC